rnacentral:tRNA from 1 species
AGUGGUUAAGUAUUUGUCUGUUAAUCAAAAGGUUGGUGGUUCAAACCCACCAGCUGCUC